UACGGAGGGUGCAAGCGUUGUCCGGAAUCAUUGGGCGUAAAGAGCUCGUAGGCGGUUUGUCGCGUCUGCUGUGAAAACUGGGGGCUCAACCCCCAGCCUGCAGUGGGUACGGGCAGACUAGAGUGCGGUAGGGGAGAUUGGAAUUCCUGGUGUAGCGGUGGAAUGCGCAGAUAUCAGGAGGAACACCGAUGGCGAAGGCAGAUCUCUGGGCCGUAACUGACGCUGAGGAGCGAAAGCAUGGGGAGCGAACAGG
rnacentral:rRNA from 1 species